rnacentral:tRNA from 1 species
GGGGAGAUAGACCGUAAGUGGAAGCGGGCAGGACUGUAAAUCCUGUGAGAAAUCCUUGGGUGUUCGAUUCGCCCUCUCCCCA